rnacentral:rRNA from 1 species
GACGAACGCUGGCGGCGUGCUUAACACAUGCAAGUCGAGCGACGCUCUUCCUUCGGGGAGAUGACGGAGCGGCGAACGGGUGAGUAACACGUGGGCAACCUGCCCCUAGCUCUGGGACAACACCGGGAAACCGGUGCUAAUACCGGAUACGACAUCGAGCGGCAUCUCUCGAUGUGGAAAGUUUUUUCGGCUAGGGAUGGGCCCGCGGCCUAUCAGCUUGUUGGUGGGGUAAUGGCCCACCAAGGCGACGACGGGUAGCCGGCCUGAGAGGGCGACCGGCCACACUGGGACUGAGACACGGCCCAGACUCCUACGGGAGGCAGCAGUGGGGAAUAUUGCGCAAUGGGCGAAAGCCUGACGCAGCGACGCCGCGUGAGGGAUGACGGCCUUCGGGUUGUAAACCUCUUUCAGCAGGGACGAAUUCAGACGGUACCUGCAGAAGAAGCACCGGCCAACUACGUG